GAUGAACGCUGGCGGCGUGCCUAAUACAUGCAAGUCGAGCGAACAGACGAGGAGCUUGCUCCUCUGACGUUAGCGGCGGACGGGUGAGUAACACGUGGAUAACCUACCUAUAAGACUGGGAUAACUUCGGGAAACCGGAGCUAAUACCGGAUAAUAUAUUGAACCGCAUGGUUCAAUAGUGAAAGACGGUUUUGCUGUCACUUAUAGAUGGAUCCGCGCCGAAUUAGCUAGUUGGUAAGGUAACGGCUUACCAAGGCAACGAUGCGUAGCCGACCUGAGAGGGUGAUCGGGCACACUGGAACUGAGACACGGUCCAGACUCCUACGGGAGGCAGCAGUAGGGAAUCUUCCGCAAUGGGCGAAAGCCUGACGGAGCAACGCCGCGUGAGUGAUGAAGGUCUUCGGAUCGUAAAACUCUGUUAUUAGGGAAGAACAAAUGUGUAAGUAACUAUGCACGUCUUGACGGUACCUAAUCAGAAAGCCACGGCUAACUACGUG
rnacentral:rRNA from 1 species